rnacentral:misc_RNA from 1 species
CAAAAUGGUGGAGAUGCUGGGAUUUGUUUUACAAAGCUAGAAUUCUGUGUUGUCAAUGAAAACUCAGACUUUCAGCUACUACCAGAUAACCAGAUGCCCUCAUGAAGAGCCCUUGAGUAAUAAGAACCUUGUAAUAGGUACCGCUGAAGUGUCAGCAAUGAUGUCCUCAAAGAGUAGAGGUCAUACUAGUUAAAGAACCUUGUAAUAGGUACCGCUGAAGUGUCAGCAAUGAUGUCCUCAAAGAGUAGAGGUCAUACUAGUUAAAGAACCUUGUAAUAGGUACCGCUGAAGUGUCAGCAAUGAUGUCCUCAAAGAGUAGAGGUCAUACUAGUUAAAGAACCUUGUAAUAGGUACCGCUGAAGUGUCAGCAAUGAUGUCCUCAAAGAGUAGAGGUCAUACUAGUUAAAGAACCUUGUAAUAGGUACCGCUGAAGUGUCAGCAAUUAUGAGUCCUCAAAGAGUAGAGGUCAUACUAUUUAAAGAACCUUGUAUUAGGUACGGCUGAAGGAUCAGCAUUCAUGAGUCCUCAAAGAAUAGAUGUCAUCUAGAAGGCAUCAUGAGUGAGAAAGAACCUUGUAUUAUUAGGUAGUAUUGAUAAUUUCAAGUAAAAUGACAGAUUUAGAGCUGUACCUGUCUCUCUCUCUCUCCCUCGUACGUUUUCAGACGGAUUUUCCACCGUGGAUUGUAUUGCGUAUUUAUUUCUGGAGUUGUGUGGUGGUUAAAGUGUAGAAACAUAAAAAUAAAAGAUAUAUAUAUGUUAAUGGUUAAGUUUUGAGUAAACUUUAUUAUUAAUUAAGUUAUUUUGUGUACUUAUCGAUAAUUUGUCAGACGAUAAUCGAUUUAGUAUGAGUGAAAAAAUAACGCGCCGGACCAUAAUCGAUUCACGAAUCGAUCGUGAACUAUGGAGUGGCAACACUGAUAGGUUAGUUGUCUAUGGACACCUUUUUGAAGACGUCAAACUGGUAUCUCUUCUCCCAUUGGACAAAUGAUUGUUGAGAACAACAGAGAAUUUUCUUAUUGGAUGUUACAUGGUUGUACGUGGAUUUAAUUGCAAACCAACUUGAUGUUUUCGUUCAUGUUUUGGCAUAGUUUGCAAGUUUGCUGUUUGGCUAGAAAAUAAGUUUUUACCGGCGACGCUAAAGUGAAUUUAGAUACAUUUUCGUGUGAAAGUUGUGUUUAAAGUGUGUAGGAAGAAUCGGCGAGCAAACAAAAGUGGAAUCCUACAUUUUACGAAGGUCAAUAUCGUCGAUUUUGCCAAGGACGAUAUCAAGAAGAUAUCAUCGGUACAUAUACCGAUUUCUAAGAAACCUUUAGAAGGUUAAAUAGGGUUAGUUGAGGAUAAUCCUACGGAUGUCCCAAGAUGGAACAGUUUUUAAAAGAACGAAUUACUUUGAGGCAAGAAAAGCUCGGAGAGGAUAUACAAGGGGGUAGAGCGAUACUGGAUCUUUAUAAAGAAGGGACCGCCAUUAUAGAUAAUGAUGUAUUAAAAAUACAGAUUAGUUUGAAACAAUGUUUAGAAAUCCUUCAAAAGGACAUAGACAGCUACAUACAAACCGCAUCUGAAGAUACAAGUAUACUCCAUUCAGCUUUUAAAAGACAACUGGAAGCAGAGGCUAUUUUAGUCGAGCUUAAUCUGCUACUCAGCGGAAACUCCCAACAGAAAAAUAUUACAAAACAUGUAAAACUUCCUAAACUUGAAUUGAUGAAGUUUAAAGGAGAUAUACUGAAAUGGACAGAGUUUUGGGACAGAUUCCUGGCUAAUGUGCAUUCACAGAGUUUGACAGACUCUGAGAAAUUAGCAUAUCUGUUGAGUCUUUUGGAGGACGAGGCGAAGGACGCUGUACAAGGCCUCUCGAUAACAAAUUCCAAUUACAAGCUAGCAAUAGAAGCACUAAAUGCUAGGUACGGAAACCAACAAAAGGUCAUAGAUUCUCAUUAUGAGGCGCUAACGAAAAUAAGUUGUUGUGCAUACUCUGCAGAAGAAUGCAGGAAGAAUUUAAAUAAAAUAGACACUCAUCUAAGGGUACUGUCGUCUUUAAAUGAAAAUGUGGAAAGCAACUUCUUGCGGAGUCUCAUCAUGAACAAGUUUCCUGAAAGGGUCAUAUAUGAAUUAAAUCUCUUAUUACCUAACAAUCAGACUAUAACCAGUAUUAGAAGUACUUUAGAUGCUAUCAUAGUGGCAUUAGAGAAGUCCAAGGUGAAGGAACCUAUUCAAAGGGAGACGCCUGGCACCGCCACUACUGAUGCAUUAAUUGCCAUUGAUAAUAAACCUAGACCGAAAUACAAAAGGGGCAAACGAAUUUCAGGCUUCACACCUUUUACUAAACCAUCAUCGGAGAUGCCGUCAGGAAAUAAUAGGAAGCGAAACGCUACGUUCACCAAGGAAAAGGGAAUUAAGCGACCAAAAUUAAGCUGUAUUUUCUGCUCGGGAUCACACUUUAAUGAUGAGUGCACAUCUAUUAAGACCAUAGAGGGUAGAAAGAAAAGGUUAAGCGACCGCUGCUUUAUUUGUUUGAAAUUAGGCCAUCGUGUGAAUGAAUGUAAGAGGCGAAAACCGUGUUACCAUUGUAAAGGGCAGCACAAUCGUGCUCUGUGCCCAAAGCGAGAACCUGCAGACUGCAACAGCGCAGGUGAUUCACAAAAAUAAAAAACUAGAAUGUAGAUUACUUCUUGACUGCGGAAGUCAAAGAAGUUACAUUACCACUGGACUUGCCAAAACCCUGGAUUUGACUUUGAACAACAUGGAUUCAUUAUUAAUUUUUACCUUUGGAGCAGAGAAACCUACUGAAACUUUGAGCCCUUGCACUGAUGUAGUAAUCAAAACGAAACGAGGAGUAGACAAGAGUAUCCACGUCAACGUUGUCCCUCGCAUUACUAAUAAGAUUCCCACACAACAUAUCUCAAAACCAAGUGGAGUAGAUAUGAUGGCAGACAGUGGCUCACAAGGAAGUAAAGAAAUCAAUAUGCUCAUUGGUAAUGACUACUAUUUUUCCUUUAUUAGGAAAAAUAUGAUACAACUGGACGACAAUCUAUUCUUAAUAGAUACAGAUUUUGGAUGGGUUAUAUCUGGUCGUCUCCGCUUAGAAAAUCAAGAAGAAGACAAUAUUUUAACAGUUGUCACUUACCAUCAAAGUAAUAGAGGUUGUAAAUGCUUCUCAGAACCGGAUCUACCGUUGAGGCAAUCUGAUCUGAAAUUCCUUUGGAGUCUGGAAAAUAUUGGAAUAACUGAUUCAGUAAAGGCUACUAGGGAAGAGAAUGCUGUCCAACACUUUAAUGAUACCGUGGUAUAUCAAGGUGGCCGUUAUUAUGUGAAAUGGCCAUGGACAACAUAUCCGCCCGAUGUACCAACCAACUAUGGUCUAGCGUAUGGCAGACUCAAGGGAUUAUUACAAAGGAUGGAUAAGUCUACACUACAAGAAUAUAAUGAGAUACUUAUGGAACAACUGAAGAAUGAGAUAAUAGAAGUUGUUCAAGCAGGAUCAAAUCUCCAAUGUCAGUCUGUGCCUCCGAUUCACUACCUUCCGCAUCAUAUAAUCAAACAGAGUGCCAAACGUGGUCGUAUUGUAUAUGAUGGGUCAGCAAGACUGAAAAAUGAGCAAAGUCUUAACGAGUGCUUGUAUAGAGGACCUUGCAUGCUCCAAGAUCUGACAGCGCUGCUCUUGAACUUUAGAGUGUAUCAAAUAGGUAUUGUAGCUGACGUCGAAAAGGCUUUCUUGCAAAUUGGCUUACAAGAAGAAGAUAGAGAUGUGACAAGGUUCAUAUGGUUAAAGGAUAUCAAUAAACCAUUGUCCGAUGAAAACAUACUACACCUAAGAUUCUGCAGAAUGCCUUUUGGAAUUAUUUCCAGUCCUUUCUUGCUGACAGCUACUAUACGCUACCACAUAUCUCAAAAGAAUAGUGAUCUGCUAAAAAGGGUAGCGAACAAGUGUUAUGUUGAUAAUAUAGUGACUGGCACAAAUGCUGUAGACGAGGCUGUUCGAUUAUAUGAUGAGACCAGGGAAACAUUUGAAGAACUCUCCAUGAACCUAAGAGACUGGACAUCAAAUGAUGAGGCCUUUAACCAAGAAAUACCAGAGACAUAUAGAGCAAAGGAGACAAAUGAAAUAAAAGUUUUAGGGCUGUUAUGGGACAAGAGACAAGACAUGCUUAAACUAAACCUAAAUAAAGAAGUUAUCAUGGAAGGAUUCUCAGAAGUUACUAAAAGGGAAGUCCUAAGAGUAUUGGCAUCAGUAUAUGAUCCCUGCGGCAUUGUAUCCCCGUUACUCAUGCCCAUCAAGCUGUUUCUUCAAGAAUUGUGGAGACUUGACUAUAAGUGGGAUGCUCCACUAUCGCAAGAUCAAUACAGAAGAUGGAAGAAGAUAGAGAGUAACUUAAGAGAAAUACACGAGGUUGAGAUACCACGUUAUUUGGGAACCAAUGUCAACAAAGGAUCCGUAAAUGAAUUACAUUGCUUUGCGGAUGCUGCCAAAGACUCCUACGCAGCUGUGGUAUAUUUCAGAUCAUGUAAUGGCUCUGAAAUAAAGACAUUAUUUUUAUUAUCAAAGAGUAGAGUUGCACCUUUAGAAAAGAAAAACAAGAAAGGGAAGAAAAAUGAAAGAAAACUGACUAUUCCACAACUAGAAUUACUAGGCUGUGUGAUCGGAAACCGAUUAUUGACAUAUCUGAAAGAAACCAUAGAAUUACCCAUUGAUAGACAAUACUUAUGGACAGACAGUUUAGUGGUUCUUAAUUGGAUUCAUUCCAAUAAACUUCUGCCACCUUUCAUAAGCAACAGGAUAGAGGAAAUAAAGCGAAAUGUUGGCCUAGAAACAUACUACGUGAACACAAGAGAAAAUGCAGCUGACAUUGCGACCCGGCCUGAAUUGUGGUCACAGAAAAAACAGGUAUGGUUGGAAGGACCAUCCUUUUUAGCCAGAAGUAAAGAGGAUUGGCCGAAAGACAUCCACCUUACUAGCCACCAGAACCUGGCAUCUUUCUCAGCUGUAGUGGAGGGUCUGAAGGAACAGAAUUUAGACAAUGACAUGACUGUAGAACCUUCAGAUAUAAACAUGCCUGUAGAACUAUCUGAUAAUCAGAUACCUAUGGAAGUUAUCGAGGAUGACGAACCACAACCUGACCAGAGUGAAGUAAAAUCUCAGGUACAAGAGGUAAAAAACCUGCAAAGAAGAUUCUUUCCCGAUGAAACAAAAGGCAAACUGACAGACCUCAGUAGAAGUCUUGGUCUAUUUACAGAUGUAGAUGGAUUGUUGCGAUGUAAAGGACGAAUGAUGCACGCUAAUUGGUCAUACGACAUGAAAUAUCCAAUUCUUCUGCCCAGAGACUGCGAAUUCACAAGGAAAGUUGUUAAAGAAAUACAUGAGAAGAACUAUCAUGUAGGAGCACCCCAUACUCUCGAUCUGGUUCGUAAGCAGUUCUGGAUUCCAAAAGGAAGACCAGUGGUGGAGAGAGUACUAAGAAAGUGUACUCAAUGUGUAAAGUACGGUGGAGGCCCGUACCCACUGCCACCAACACCAGCGUUACCUGCAGAGCGUGCAAAUUACAGCACACCGUUCACCUACACUGGAAUUGAUUAUUUUGGACCUGUUUUCAUAGAUACCGAAAAUGGACAACAAAAGAGAUGGGUGUGUCUAAUGACGUGCUUAGCAGUGAGAGCUAUACACCUAGAAGUCAUUAAGAACUUGACUGCAGAUGAGUGUAUUAUGGCGUUGAGGAGGUUUAUAUCUACAAGAGGUAUACCAUUAGCCAUAGUUUCAGACAACGCACUAUACUUUAAACUGAGCUCUGAGAUCCUGAAAAGUGAACACUGCGUAAAGAAUAACAUCAAGUGGAAAUUUAUUCCCCAAUUGGCGCCUUGGCACGGUGCAUUCUAUGAAAGACUAGUGGGUUUAGUGAAGCACUGUAUGAAGAGGACUUUGGAAAAACGAUUAUUGAAUGAUACUCAACUCCAUACUAUUAUUAAGGAGAUUGAGACUGUGAUUAACAGUCGGCCUUUAACACGAGUUGGCCCUGAUAUGGAAGCGGUGCUUAGACCAUGUGACUUUCUAUCACUAGGACGCUGUUUAAACUUGGAGAUGUCGGAGGAUUAUAGACCGGACCAAGAUGACACUCAAGUGAAAAAGAACUUGUUCGAAAGUUGGAAAAGAGGUCAGAACAUGCUGAACCACUUCAAGAACAUGUUUAUACACCAAUAUUUGAUGAGCCUAAGAGAAAGGUAUCAACACAGUCACAAGCAGCCAAGAGUGAAAUCCCAUCAGGAGCCAAGCGUUGGUGAUUUAGUCCAGAUAAAAGGUGAAAACAACAACAGAAACAACUGGCGGGUUGGCAAGAUUGUCCAACUUAUAAGAAGUGCGGAUGGAUUCUGUAGAGUAGCACAUGUUAAGGUAGGAGACAAUAUCUUCAUUCGGUCUAUCGGACACCUGUAUCCUUUAGAAAUGGAGUGUCCACCUUCAGUUCAAGGAGACGUUAAACCCACUGAUACGAGCGAAUCUCAAGAAAGAGCUCAAAAUCCUAUAUUAAAUGAUUUUGAGACAAGUCAAACAAUUGAAAUACCAAAGUUGAAUGAUCACGUCGAGAUUGUUAAGGAAAACCAAGAGACAUUACAGGAAAACCCUUUUACCCAAUGUACAGAAGGAAGAGAGUCUAAUGAUGACAUUCCUGAUGAGAGAGUACGCACAACACCACCACGAUCAGUACACCCAGAAACUGACGAGACGCGGCUUGUAGACGAGGGAAUCAAUGAGGCCGAGAUAGUAGAGCAAGAUGAGGCUCAGCCACGAGAGGAAGUAGUGAGACGAGCCGCUGCGAUAAGAGCAAGAGAACGAAUCGCAGAGUGGACUCGUCAACUCUUCGCUAUUUUAUAAACCGUCCUCGUCGUUGGGAAUGUCGCGAAUUUACGCGAUUCCUGAUAAAAGUGAGAAAGGAACGCGUGGCGAGAGGUUUUUACGAGACGAUUAAGAAGGGGACUGGUGGCGAAAGAGGCCGAGACAGCAGAGUGCUCCCGUUUAACUAGAAGAUUUCCCUGGUGAGUGCUUAUGCUUAAUUAUAACGAGAGAAAUACGUUGAGAGGUUAAGUAAGAGUAAGAUUAAAUAUGGUGGAACGGGAAGGUCUAUUGGGGAAGGUGGCAGGACCUCCAGGGACCUGCGGGUCCCACACAGAAUAAGGUGAGAGUAGAGAAACUGGGAUGACAGUUGGUCGGAUCACUUGAAAGAGAAACCUACCACCGAGGGUGGCUCUUGGUCCGAACGAUGGUGUCAUACCUGGCUCUCACGGAUUGUUGUAAGAGUAAAUAAGCAAUGAACCUUUCAACGUACGUCUCAGAACUUUAUAUCAAGGAUAAACGUGUAAAUGAUGAUGAUUGAAACGACUAAAUUAGUAACAUACAAAUCUAUG